UACGAAGGGGGCUAGCGUUGUUCGGAUUUACUGGGCGUAAAGCGCACGUAGGCGGAUUGUUAAGUUGGGUGUGAAAUCCCAGGGCUCAACCCUGGAACUGCCUUCAAUACUGGCAAUCUAGAGUCCGGAAGAGGUGAGUGGAACUCCUAGUGUAGAGGUGGAAUUCGUAGAUAUUAGGAAGAACACCAGUGGCGAAGGCGGCUCACUGGUCCGGUACUGACGCUGAGGUGCGAAAGCGUGGGGAGCAAACAGG
rnacentral:rRNA from 1 species